AGCUAUGGCCGUGUGGCGCAUUGAAACACCCGAUCCCCUCGAUCCCGGAAGUUAAGCAACAUGCAGUCCAGGCAGUACUUGGAUGGGAGACCCCCGAGGACGACCGGAUGCUGUAGCUU
rnacentral:rRNA from 1 species